rnacentral:tRNA from 1 species
AAAGGGAAAUAAUCCAUUUCAGAUGCUUAAAAUCUGCGCAUUUUUCUGCCACUUCAAAAAAAU